AAAAUGAAUCAACCUUCUUCUGAUUUAGUACUGGAGAAAAUAAAGGAAAGAUUAAGUAUAACAACUGCCCUGUGUGGACAGUUACUGUCUAUCUUUCUAUUUGCUGGGAAAAUAUAAGUAUUACAGAACUGAGACCACCAGAUAGGACAAGAGAAAGAACUUUGAGAAGGCGGUCUUUCCAGAUGAUAUUCCUGAAGGAGUUAUUUCAGAAGAAUGGAAAUCUACUGCAAUUCCUAUGGUUAUUGCAUAAUUCCAAGCACGUGUGCCAGGCUACAGAUUAUUUAGAAUCCUAAAGGCCAUCUUUUACUUCUGGCUCCAUUUCUCACCCCAAAAUAAUACAUGGGGACAGGUCCCUAGCACACCAAGACAGAGCAGAAUAUAUGUAGGUGCCCUUGUUAGAAAAGUCGGCACCAAAAAAUACCUUAUCUAGCAAAAAGAGGGGAAAAGGAAGAAUCUGCGGUGCCCCAUUUGGAGGUCUUUGUUGAAUAAGAAAUGAGAAACCAGGCUGCAGUUUUCAUUAUGCACGUGUGAAAGGUUGAGUUUCCUCUUUGCCUGCAUUGUAUUUAUUGUUGCUAGCAACCGAGAAGCACCCUAGUGAUUGUUGCUAGGCCUUCAAUGCCUCUGUUUGCCUGGGAACUGAGUUAGUGCCAGAAACACUAGAGAUAAAAAUCAUGGCAAAGCACCCAGUGUCAGUUUUCCCCAAUGGCUCCGUUAUAAACUGAUCAUUCCUGGGUUAAAUGAAAAUCAGUUUAAAAUGGAGGGUCUCAGCAAACAAUUCAUCUAUAGCUUCCAUUAUGUGACCAGCUAGCAAAGUUCUCGAAAUAUGAAACAGAGGAAAUGCCUGAGAUUGGAUUCAUUCAACAAGAUCCGUAUACUGGCAUUACUGGUUCCAAAUGGAUUAGAGACAGGCACUGUUAUAAGUACAGACUGAUUCAAGGCUAGCAGUGGGGGUUGGUUACUGAGUAAUUCUCCAUUUUUUUUUAAACCCUUACCUUCCAUCUUGGAAUCAAUACUGUGUAUUGGCUUCAAGGCAGAAGAGUGGUCAGAGCUAGGCAAUGGGGGUCAAGUGACUUGCCCAGGGACACAGAGCUGGGAAGUGUCUGAGGCCAGAUUUGAACCCAGGACCUCCCAUCUCUAGGACUGGCUCUCAGCUGCCCCCUAAUUCUCCAUUUUGACACAGGUUAGUUGGUAUAGAUCAAAACUUGCCAUUUCUUUGACAUCUUCCUAAUAGUCACAGCAAAUCUCUUUGUGAAAUCUACAGCCAUGCCUUCAGGUAGGGAGACAAAAGAUCUU
rnacentral:lncRNA from 1 species